UGGCUCAGUGGAUAGAGCAUCAGUCUGUGGACUGAAGGGUCCCAGGUUCGAUUCCUGG
rfam:Myotis lucifugus cont2.36283, whole genome shotgun sequence.